rnacentral:rRNA from 1 species
UCUGGUGACAAUGGCAAGGAGGUCACACCUGUUUCCAUGCCGAACACAGAAGUUAAGCUCCUUAGUGCCGAUGGUAGUCGGACUAACGUUCCGCUAGAGUAGGACGUUGCCAGGC